rnacentral:rRNA from 1 species
AUGAUCGACGGUGAGCCUUGGGACUGGGGCGUGCACACGGCGAGGCUUCGCGAGCACAUUCUUCGUGCCCAGCACAGGUUCAAGAAACAAGCAGAUCAACACCGCACGGAGCGCUCCUUCGAGGUGGGCGAUCGCUUUCUCCUCAAGCUUCAGCCCUAUGCACAAUCAUCCGUGGCGAACCGGCCCUGCGCCAAGCUGGCGUACAAGUACUUCGGACCCUUUGCGGUGCUCGACAGGAUCGGCAAGACGGCGUACAAGUUGGAGUUGCCAGCAGACAGCAGAAUCCACCCAGUCUUCCACGUGUCCCAGCUCAAGCCUUUCACUCCCAACUACACUCCGAUCUUCGCCGAGCUGCCACGACCGCCGGACCUCGCCGGCCACGACGACGAACUAGUGGAGAUCCUGGAGCGGUGCAUGGUUAAGCGUGGCAACAACGCGCUGGUGCAAGUCAAGGUGCGUUGGCGCCAUGACCGGACGGCAACUACAUGGGAGGAUCACGACACCCCGCGCCGCCGUUUUCCGCAAGCUCCGGCGUGGGACGCGCAAGUCAUCGAGGAAGAAGAACAGCAACCUGCACCUGAAGACGGAGCUCCUUCUGAAGAAGAGGGGAAUGUCACACCUGCAUCGCCAGGAGGUGAUGCGGUGGACGCGUGA